CUACGGAGGGUGCAAGCGUUACUCGGAAUCACUGGGCGUAAAGCGCGCGCAGGCGGGCUGAUAAGUUGGAUGUGAAAGCCUACGGCUCAACCGUAGAACUGCAUCCAAAACUAUUAGACUAGAGUGUGGGAGAGGAAGAUGGAAUUAGUUGUGUAGGGGUAAAAUCCGUAGAGAUAACUAGGAAUACCAAAAGCGAAGGCAAUCUUCUGGAACACUACUGACGCUGAGGCGCGAAAGCGUGGGGAGCAAACAGGAUUAGAAACCCCAGUAGUCC
rnacentral:rRNA from 1 species